rnacentral:rRNA from 1 species
UACGUAGGGUGCAAGCGUUAAUCGGAAUUACUGGGCGUAAAGCGUGCGCAGGCGGUUAUGCAAGACAGAUGUGAAAUCCCCGGGCUCAACCUGGGAACUGCAUUUGUGACUGCAUGGCUAGAGUACGGUAGAGGGGGAUGGAAUUCCGCGUGUAGCAGUGAAAUGCGUAGAUAUCUGGAAGAACACCAAUGGCGAAGGCAAUGUUCUGGCUCGUUUCUGACGCUCAGGUGCGAAAGCCAGGGGAGCGAACGGG